rnacentral:rRNA from 1 species
AUUGAACGCUGGCGGAAUGCUUUACACAUGCAAGUCGAACGGCAGCACGGGGGCAGCCCUGGUGGCGAGUGGCGAACGGGUGAGUAAUACAUCGGAACGUGCCCGGUCGUGGGGGAUAACGUAGCGAAAGUUACGCUAAUACCGCAUACGAUCUGAGGAUGAAAGCGUGGGACCUUCGGGCCUCGCGCGAUCGGAGCGGCCGAUGUCAGAUUAGGUAGUUGGUGGGGUAAAGGCCUACCAAGCCGACGAUCUGUAGCUGGUCUGAGAGGACGACCAGCCACACUGGGACUGAGACACGGCCCAGACUCCUACGGGAGGCAGCAGUGGGGAAUUUUGGACAAUGGGCGCAAGCCUGAUCCAGCCAUUCCGCGUGCAGGACGAAGGCCUUCGGGUUGUAAACUGCUUUUGUACGGAACGAAAAGGCUCUGGCUAAUACCUGGGGCUCAUGACGGUACCGUAAGAAUAAGCACCGGCUAACUACGUG